GCGUACGGAAAAUUGAAUUUAAUGUAAUUAAAACUCCAAUUACAGGGUUUUAUCUUACUUUUUGCAGUGAGUAAAUGUCUGUUAGACCGAUUAUAUGAUAUAGACAUGUGUUUGUAAUCAAAAAUAUGGAAAAUAAUAUAGUAUUUAAUCAGUUUUAAAACGUAUAUGAUAAAGUGUAUUUUGAAAAUAUUUACGACCAGGUAUAGAAUAGUAGAAAUGGCGACCGUCGAGGAAGAUAAUUUUGAUGGUUUAAUGCCUAAUUAUACUGAUUAUAUCGAUAAUCACAAUUAUUUGUCGGGGAGUGUCACUUUUAGUCCCGUGGGAAUGGCGGGAAUUUAUCAAUUAACUACAGACUUUAUAAACAGUAUAUUUCCAGAAAAUAUAAUCAAAGAAGGAACUUUUGUUUGGAAAAAGGAUAUCCAAAACACAUAUUAUCUUGAACUUAAAGAUGGGUUAACUUACAAAGAUGUUAUAGAAGAUUAUUGGUGUUUUAUAUAUAUACUGGCGUUUAUAUUAGCUAUAGCUAUAUUUCUACCUAUAGUCGGUCUAAUUGUAUGUUGUUGUCGCUGUUGUGGAAAUUGCGGUGGCAAAGCCAGACCGAGUAACAAAAGAAAAGAACUUGGAGCGAAGAUUAUCCUUGCAGUUUUAUUAACUAUAUGUUUAGGAUUCUUCGUAUUCGGAAUGGUGGGUUCUUUUGCGAGUAAUCAACAAUUACGAAAAGGUACCAAUGAAUUUCCUGAAAACGGAAGAAAAGUUUAUGCGGAUUCACAAUCUUUCCUCUAUAGCAUAAAAGAUCAAGCAGAACAUCUUCUUAAAAAUAAUUACGAAGAAUUUGGUGAUGCAUUCAAAGAUUUCAUACAAGAUUCUGGAAAAAAUAUUAUAGAACAGUUAUCGGUAUGGGCAAACGCAAGUUCUAUAUUGAGGAUACUUAAUUUCGCCGAAACUUUACCAGAAUUAGAAAAUAAUUUGGAAAAUUUGAGUAACGUUACAUCGAAUUUGAUAACGAGAGAGACUGAUUUGGUAGAAGGAAUGGAGGAGAUUAAAAAAAAUUUAAUAGAAACGUUAAACAAAUGUUCCGAAGAAUUUAAACAGGAAUGUAUGGAAGUAGAAGAAGCUAUCAGUAGUUUGGCGAUCAAUGUCGAUUUUAACAAAUUACCGGAUGUUUCACAAGCACUACAAUUAAUCGGAGAGUUAGAUAUAGAGAAUAUCAUAAACGUCGCUGAGAACGGGAAGGAAGUGUUGGAAAAUGCGGAAAAAAAUAUCAAUGACACAAUAUCUGAUGUUCUACAGCAGAUAUCCGAAAAAAUUGACGAAGCAGGUACCGAUAUAAACAACAACUUGAAUACUUUGGACGAUAUCGCAGAAAAUUUAACCUCGCAAUUUCACCAAGUAAACGAAACAAUCGAAAAUGGUUACGGUUAUCUGUACGAGUACUACCCGUACUUUUAUUACUCUGGAGUCACGUUGUGUUGCGUUUUACUUUCGGCGACAGUUUUCUCGUUGCUCGGUCUGGUGUUCGGGGUAUUCGGAAGGAGACCCGAGCGAUCCGCCGGCGAUUGCUGCACGAAACGAAGCGGAAGUUUAUGUUUGAUGAGCGCAGCCGUCGCAAUAUUCGCGUUCUCGUUUUUUUGCGGUCCGAUCACCGUCGCGAUGAUGGUAUCGGGCGUCGCCGCCGACAGGGUAGUUUGCUACCCCCUCCGCGAUCCGGAACAUUCGACGCUCCUACACCUACUAGACGAUUAUCCGGGGAAAAUUCUCGGCGACGAUCUGAAUUAUACGGUCGGCGAGGGGCUGUUGAAAUGUUACGAUAACCGAAGCAUCUACAGCGUGUUGAAUUUGGAAAGUAAAUUCGAUGUAUCGCAGCUGGAUUCGAAGUUCGACGUAACGAAUUCGUUGGAAGAUAUCAGAGAGCAAAUUGGGAAUCGAUGGUCGACGUUUUUUCCCGAGGAUUUCGAAAUUUUGAACGAAACUUCCCAAGGGGUUUUGGAGGAACUAACGAAAAUCGAUCCCGAUGUCGACGUCGAUAGUUUUCGAACCGAGUUGAGUAAGAGCGUGGUUAACAUGGAUUUGAAAAGUGUCGUGACGUCUUUGGAGCUCUUGGUCAACGGAAUGUCUUCGCAAGACCCCCAAGUGGCAGAUGGUCUCGGAAAAAUCAUCGAAGAUAUCAAAACUUACGAGGAAACAAUUUUAGAACCGACGAUAGCUGAAGCGCGACAAGCACUCGAACUGGCCAUUAUCGUAGACGGUCAGAUCAAAAUGAAUUCUUCCAGUAUGUCUGCGGCUAUAACACAAUUCAUUCAGGACGUUGAAUUCGCCCAAAAUCAAUUGAAAAACUCCGAUAUAAGUAUAGAGGGAAUAAAUAAAUAUAUUGAUAAAGUAGAAGAAAUAAUUCGGGGUUAUUUGAGAAGGGUGAAUACUGUACUUACUGAGGAGCUAGGUCAGUGUGGUCCUCUAAACGUUGCGAUCCAUGCAAUGUUGAUUGCGGUUUGUGAUAAAAUAACGUUACCAUGGAAUAGCUUCUGGAUGUCGAUGAUGAUAUGUUUAGUAGCUUCCGUACCUAUGAUCAUUUUCUCGAUAUGGUUAUCAUCAUUAUAUAAAAGGUACAAACCCCGUGAACAAAAUAACGAAAGAUCCCGUUUACGAAACAGUAUUGGUAAAAGAUAUAAUGAUUAUUAUCCUGAGCAAGGUAAUGAUGAUACGAUACCCAUAGGUAUGAGUAACUAUUAUGGAGAGGUUUUUAAAAAAAACAAAAACGUGGAUUACUACCAAGGAGCUAGUGCUCCUAAGGCUCUCGAUGAUAGUAACUAUAGAUAUAAUGACAUGUCUCAAAGAUAUUAGAAGAAUGUUAAGAAUAUCAACAGUUGAUAGUGUGGCUUCGAAACAACGUCUCCAUUUUUAAAAAACAUAUUAGUUGGAACGCGUAUAAUGGAGAGAUUCCAAACUUUACAUACUGUUGUCAUUAGUACGUUAAAGUGUGAUACUAUUUAUUUAUUGUUGAAAAAAUGUUCAAAUUUUAUUAGUAUAAGGUGAUUGAAUAGUUGCAACAUAUAUAUUUUUUGUAUAAGUAUAUAUUAUUCAUUAAAUAAUUAUAAAUCUU